rnacentral:rRNA from 1 species
GCGACGGGUGAGGAAUACAUCGGAAUCUACUCUGUCGUGGGGGAUAACGUAGGGAAACUUACGCUAAUACCGCAUACGACCUACGGGUGAAAGCAGGGGAUCUUCGGACCUUGCGCGAUUGAAUGAGCCGAUGUCGGAUUAGCUAGUUGGCGGGGUAAAGGCCCACCAAGGCGACGAUCCGUAGCUGGUCUGAGAGGAUGAUCAGCCACACUGGAACUGANACACGGUCCAGACUCCUACGGGAGGCAGCAGCC